ensembl:snRNA U6 U6 spliceosomal RNA
AGGCUCCUGCAGCAUUUAUAUUAAAACUGGGACAGUACAGAGAAGAUUAACAAGGAUGACAAACAAUUUCAUGAAGUGUUUCAUAUUUUU